rnacentral:tRNA from 1 species
GGAGACGUCGCAUAGUUCGGCCUAGUGCACCACCCUGCUAAGGUGGAGUGCCCUUUACAGGGCACCGUGGGUUCAAAUCCCACCGUCUCCGCCG